GCACCCUCAAGCUUUGCUUGGUGUUGGGCGUCUUGUCCCCAGUUCGCUGGAGACUCGCCUUAAAGUCAUUGGCAGCCGGCCUACUGGUUUCGGAGCGCAGCACAAGUCGCGCUCUCUGCCAGCCAAGGUCCGCGUCCACCAAGCCUUUUUUCAAC
rnacentral:misc_RNA from 1 species